UAAGUUGAUGCCUGCUGGUUUGGGUAAAUAGCUGUUAACUAUUUCUUGCAGGAUCGAGGCCUGCCAAUUAUG
rnacentral:tRNA from 1 species